CAGGAACUAGAGAAUAUCAUGCUAAGUGAAAUAAACCAAUUCCCCAAAACCAAAGACCAAAUGUUUUCUCUAAUAUGUGGAUGCUAAUUCACAAUAAUGUGGAGGAGGGGCUAUGGAAGAAUAGAGUUACUUUGGAUUAGGCGGAAGGGAGUUGGGGGUAGGAAAGGUAGUAGAAUGAAUCAGAUUAUUACCCUAUUUGCAUAUAUGAAUACAUGACGGGUGUGAUUCUACAUCAUAUACAACCAGAAGAAUGAGAAGUUAUGCUCCGUUUAUGUAUGAUGUGUCAUAAUGCAUCAUAUAUAACUAAUUAGAACAAAUCAACAUUUCCAAGUCAAAGAACAGUCUUAAAGUGAAAUUAGGAAAAUAAAAUUCCAUUUAUAACAGCAUGAAAAAAAUUAAGUUUAACAAAAGAUAUGCAAGACUUAUACACCAAAAACUACAAAAUGUUGAAAGAAAGUAAAGAAAAGCUGAUGAAGUGGAAAUAAAUCUCACAUUCAGGGAUCAGAAGACAUGUUGUUAAUAUUGCCCUACUUCCCAGCUGAUCUACAGAUUUAACAAAACCAGAGUACAAACCCAGCUAGCCCUUCUUGAAGAAAUUGAAAUGCUGACCUUGAACUUUCCACAGAAAUGCAAAGGACUUAGAAUAGCCAGAACAAAAUUAAAAAGGGACAUAGCUGAAGAACAUUCUUCCCAGCCUCAUAACCUACAAAGCAAGGCAGCCUGCAAUAAGCCAAUCCCAAAAAACCAAAAGCCAAAUGUUUUCUCUGAUAAGCGGAUGCUGAUCCAUAGUGGGGCUGGGGGAUAGGGAAGAAUGAAGGGAC
rnacentral:lncRNA from 1 species